rnacentral:lncRNA from 1 species
GUAAGGCACUCAAGUAACAAAUAUUUAUUAUUUAGUCCCUUAAAAAUAAUUUACUUUAUUACAAAGAUAGUAAUACAAUUUCUAGAAAAUACAUGCAUGUACAAAGAUUGAAAUAAAAAAAACACUCAUAAAUAUCCAGAUUUAAAUGUCAGCAUAUACCUUCCUGAUCUUUUUCUAUCAUACUGUAUCUAUCAACAUCUAACCUGCUUUUUUAACUAUAAGUCAUACAUUUUGCCAUAUCAGUACACUUUUUUCUGUAACAUUAUUUUUAGAGCAUAUCAAACCAUAGUUUAUUUAACCAAUCCCCAAUUAAUUCAUAAUUAGAAUAUUUCGUGUUUUUCCAGUAUAACAGUUCUAUAAUCUUUGAUUAUAACCUUUGUGUAAAUUCCUAUAAGUAUUGAGUCAAAGGAGACACACAUCUUUUCAGGCAUUACAUAUAAAAUAAAUACUAAACUAGACUCCAGGAAAGUGGUAUCAAUUCACAUUCCCAAUAGCACUGUCCCAAUGGGGCUAAUUUAUCUCCUUUUUAAUCUCAGCGUAUUUCCAGUUAUAACAUACCAUUUUUACCUCUUGAUUCAACAAUUGUACUUAGAAGAAGCUCUAAAAAUCCAAAACUGAAGCUUCCUUUUAGACCCUCCCUAUUACAAUCCGUAUGAAAGUACAGAAUUCGAGAGUGACAUCAGCCAAACGGAGAAGUGAAGCUUACUGGCUUCUCUCCCUACCACAUAAUUUCAACUAGCAAAUACCCAGUGGCAAGAUUAUUGCCCUGAAUAUCCCAGAAAUUGGGAGUGAAGCUGUGACAACUCACUGGACCACAGAGCCAAGAAAAACCAUGAACAGAGGGUAAAGAGAAUGGUUCUGUUUGAUCAUAACACCUCUCCCGCAAGCCCACAUAGCACCGCACUUGGAGAAUUUCUCUGGAAUCAGUUUCUACAGUGGGAAAAGAGAGCGGGAGGUGGGCAUUCACCUUCCGCACCAUUCUGAGACUCUUCACAGGGGCACACUAUGGUCCUUUCCCCCUGGAAGCACUGCAGGUGCCAGCAGGGUUAGCCUGCUAGGUGUAAAUUAGAAACAAAGAAUGGGGGUGGGGCUCACAGCAGUCAACAAACAAAUCACAGAGUGGACUGCAGGGAACCUGGGCUUAGGGCACCAUUUGGCACUACACGGGCUGUAGCGUUCACGGGCUUAAAGACCAAAAAAGACAGUAUGCUUACAAUUUCUGGACAGACCUACUAUACAAGGACAAUCACAGACAAAGCCAGAUUGCAAAGACUGUUUAUAAAUACCUACAUAUUCAAUGCACAGAUAUCAAUGUAUAACUACAAAGAUGAAGAACAGUCAGGGAAACAUGAUGUCACCAAACAGACAAAGUGCCAGUGACUGACUCUAAAGAGGCAGAGAUAUAUGACAUUCCUGAGAUAAUUCAAAAUAGCUGUCUAAAG